UGUCUUAUUAUCACGAAAGUCUGGGAAAGAUUGGAAAUUCUAAUAUGUUUCUUUUUUGUGUUUAAAUUUUAUAGAAUGUGAGUUAUUAUUGUGAUUAUUGUUUAUCAACCCAAGAAAACCAAUAUUAGAUGGAUUUCAACAUUCUCAGGAACAAAGUUUUGAUAUAGACAGAUUGGGACAAGAGACUCUUAGAUACAAUUCAUGGCCGGUUGAGUUAUGAAGAGAAAAUGCAAAAGCAGGUGGUGGUCUUAGCUCGUCUGAAAAUACAAAUGUAAAUGCAUUGAAACUACAAUCUUGUUAGUAUUGAUUUUGUGGGAAUUCUCAUUUGAGUUUAUAAAGUGUAUGGUUUGAAUUAGGACUGCUAUUUUUUAAUCUUUGUACUUGGCAAUUCUAAUUAUACAUGAGAUUUGUGGUUUUAUUCAAUCUUUUAAUCUUUGAUAUUGAAUCAAAUAGAGGCUCUAUACUGAUGUCCAAUAUGGACCCCUUAUACUUUUAUUGUUCUUAAUUUUGUUGUCAUAAUUUCCCAGUUGUCUAUAUGAGAAUUCUGAGAAUAUAGCUGCUCCUUUCAUCAUGUCAACAAGGGUAAGAAUUGCUUGUUAUCGUUUUUAUUGCUUAGGACUUUUUGAGCAAUUGUCAACAAGGGCAACAAUUGCUUGUGUGGUGCAACAUGUGCUUCGUUGCAUUAUUCGUUUUCAGUGGACUAGAAUUGGGAAAUUAGACUGUAAUAAUGGUAUUGUGUAAUUGAAGAUCUUUUUCCUUGAGAGUAGGCUGAUGGGAUUAUGGAUUAAUGCUUGUUUGUCAGAGUUUUAGUCCAGUACGUACUGUGCUAAGAAAGACGAUGAGGUGUUAUGUCAUGUUUCUCAGGAUUGAGUAUUGAGCACUCACUAUUUGGAAGGGGGAAAUGACUUGUAAAUCUACUGGUUUAGAAAAGUUUUAAAUGGUUGUUGAUACAGAGUCUCAGCGCACUCUAGCGUCUCUACCCUGAUAAGUCGGGAAUACUUUAUGCAUUGGUGUUCAACUGUCUUCAUUCAUCAAUUUUGGGCUGAGAAUUCCAUGAACUUGGUUUUUGACAAUAAUUUGUCAGCAAGCAUCCAGAGCAACUUAGUAAAACAUGGAUGUACAAAAGAAAAACCAAAUAUAACAUCAUAAGAAUUAUAAAGGUGCUCCAAUUACACAUUGACCAAUGAAUUUAUGUCACAUCAUGUAAAAAGAACCCAGGGUGCUCAAGAAUCAAAUUUUGAUUUGCACUCUGUUGAUCGCCCCCAAAAAGGAGUAAAAAUCAAUCCAAGACAGGUUGCUAAAUAGUAUCGGUACAAAAUCUUACUAUAGCAUCAGUGACUGGUCUUUCAAACUAUAUUUGCUCAAAGUAUUAUACAAGGCUCACAAUUGGCAAUGUACCACACAGGACAUCCUUCUACAAAUCAUGCCACCUCCCCAAUGCUUCUCCAACACGAACUCUAUCCCCACGUCUGAUAUUGAACCUGAAGUCUGAGGAUGGGACCCCGUCCUUCACUGGCUUUAAUGUGGGAGCCUGGAAGACGAGCACUACUGUUGAUCCCAUAUUGAAAGCAGCCACCUAAAAGCAUCAAAAGGAUGAUAUAAUGAAAAAAAAUGUGCCUGCGCAUGAGGCUAGCUUUUCAGAGAGAUACUUCAGUGGGUCCAUUCUUGCAAGGGUUCGCUUGGUAUGGUCUUUGAAAGACCUGAGAAUCAAUGCUGCUUACACCUAGGGUAACACCAUGAGGGUUUCUCUCAUUUGGGAAUCCAUCCAUUUGCAAAAGAAGAAUUAUAGCAUAACAAACAGCAGGGAAGCUAUGCUUCUAAUUCAAUUAUGGAGUUACUCUUUAAGAAUUAUGGAGUUACUCUUUAAGAAUACCCAAAGUUAAAGCAGGAGUUUUGUUUCUAUCAAGCAUCAAAAGCAAGGGGAAAACAAAGAACAGUAUGUAUGACUAACCUCAUCCCCUUUCUUCAGUACUUUACCAAUGCCUUCAGGGUCGUACACCCGUUCUUCUGGGGGCUCAGUAUUCAAUAACUUUUUUCUUGGCAGAUUUGUCCGAAGUUCUGGUUCGAUGAAGAGCUGCAACAUACAAGUUUAGACUAAAGUCAACACAAGAGGUUUCUCAAAUAAGAGAAGCUCAGUGACAACCUAGUGAAUUAGGUUUUUUUAUGGAGAAUACAUCAAUUCCUUUUUUAAGUGAUUGAGGUUUGCCUUUAUUUUAGAGCUAAGCUGCAUAUAAGUUAUGCUCUCUCUCUCUCUCUCUCUCUCUCUCUCUCUCUCUCUCUCUCUCUCUCUCUCUGUAUUUAUUUUGGUUCUUCAGGAAAGGGUUGAAGCAUCAAACCUAUAAUCCCUAUUAUUCAGGUCUACUAACUUACCCAAUCGCUGGAGUUGGUAAACUUUCUAUUAUUCAACCCAUCACAGCAGCAAAAGGUUAUGAGGGGGGUAUGGGAACUGUGUGCAAAUUAUAUGCAUGCAGAAAUGUAUAAUGGAGGUUGAGUGGGGGUAUAGGAAUUAUUGUUAAAAUAAGCAUUUCAAAAAGCCAUCUGACCUCAAUUGACCCAAUAUUUGUAGCACCUAUGCAGCAANNNNNNNNNNNNNNNNNNNNNNNNNNNNNNNNNNNNNNNNNNNNNNNNNNNNNNNNNNNNNNNNNNNNNNNNNNNNNNNNNNNNNNNNNNNNNNNNNNNNNNNNNNNNNNNNNNNNNNNNNNNNNNNNNNNNNNNNNNNNNNNNNNNNNNNNNNNNNNNNNNNNNNNNNNNNNNNNNNNNNNNNNNNNNNNNNNNNNNNNNNNNNNNNNNNNNNNNNNNNNNNNNNNNNNNNNNNNNNNNNNNNNNNNNNNNNNNNNNNNNNNNNNNNNNNNNNNNNNNNNNNNNNNNNNNNNNNNNNNNNNNNNNNNCAGCACAACCUGGUGUCAGCAGUUUUGCAAAAGCAAAUUAUGAAACCCCAACAAAUCCAAAGAUGGAAAAAAAAAAGUAAUGUACAUUGACGAAUUACGACACUAAUUAUAUUCCACUUCAGAAUAAAACAGAGCUUUAAGAACAUUCAGGAUCACUGGAUCAUGCAAAUUCAACCCCACGUUUUAGUGGAGUAGCCAAAUUAGUGCUUCAGAUGAAAAAACAUGGAUAAGUUAAGUCAAACUCAUAAAUCAAGUCACUGAAGACUCAAAAUUAGGAAAGAAGCAGCUCAUGGCAUGUGUUACCAUAUUAAUGAGAAAAGGAAGUAAGUUUUGGGUAGCACAUCGUCUAAUGUGUUGUAAAGCUUUGUCUACUUCUAAUCAUGAAGAUAGUAAAUGAGAAAUCCAUAUCAAAUUACAGAUUAUGCAUGAAAAAUGAUCUUAUUCAUGCCAUGAGCUGGUUCUUCAUUUUGCAUAUUUUGUUUAAUUUCAUGUCUCUCCAUUUGUUUGUAUGAUAACUGACAGAUGUAUUUAGGUAAAUUGCACAACAAUCUAAUGAGAAUAAAUACUAUCAAAUAUAAGAAAGCAAUACUGAAGCUGCUAUGAUAGUGACAAUUGAAGUACAAAUAAAGUUAUCUAAAAUAUCAUAAUUACCCUUUCAUUUUCUGUAUAAAGAUUUCUGAUUGUUCUUGUAGCACGCUCAUUCAUAGGAAACAGAUGCCCUAUAAAACAAAAAGAAAUUAUCAGCAAAGAGAAUCAGGCACCUUUUAAACUACUGGGAUUUGAUACUUGUAGAAUCAUUCCAUGCAACAAAAUUCUCAAAGUAACCUGGAUAAAUUCUACAGACGUACAGCAAUGGGAACCAAAGGCACUCAGUUUAAUAUGGCUAAUCCAGAUUCAGUAUUCCAUGAUGCAGAAUAGUACAUUAUUCCCCAGGUCAGGCCCAUCCAGCCCGUGGUGUGGUCAUUCUGCCUGGUCAUUUUCCUUUCUAGUGUUCAUUGUUAGACUACCUUCCCAAUGAUCACAUAAGAUUUUGUUAUAUUUCUUGCUAGACAUUGCUGAAUUGUGCAAAAUAUUUGUUAAAGUAGAGCAGAAUGUCUGUAAAGAACAGGAAAUGCAGCUUGCAAGGGAGAUGAAAUAAGAUGGUUGGGAGCAAAGAAUUUCAAGAAAGAGACGAGGUAUGGCUAUUCUCAUAUUCUAUGAGAGAACUCUAUUGAUGAUUUACUGGUGCUAGACAAACUGCCCUAGAUCUUCUUCCUACCCAUCCUCUUGCUCUACUUGAAUUACUAUUUUGAAGGUCUUUUAUUGCUCACUUGCCAUCACAUUUUUAUACUUCUUAAAAAUAAAAUAUAGAAAACAAACAUCCCAGACGAACCUAAGGAUCCAGUCUGCUAUCAGUUAUAACAUUCAUCAUGUUAAAUAGAAUAACAGUGAUGCCCAUGUCAAAGAAAGAAAAAGGAAAACAUAGUACAUUACAUAGCAUAACUAUCAAACAAGUGAAUUAUCCAGAUGCACAAAGCAAACAUGGUAACCUGCAAAAUGCCGGCGGACAAGAACAUUCCAUUGAACUGGUGAGUGUAUGCGAUGAUAGUCUCCAGGCCUCAAGUAUAUUACGCAGUAGUAAAGACCCUUUGUAGGACUGCAAUCAACGGUUCCAAUGUGUAAAAUUAUAUACUUUAAACAUCCAUGAAAGACAAAUAAGAGGUGAAUUCAAAUGGUUGCUGGCUAUGGUCCCAACAGAGAAGGAAUCAUCCUAAAUAUAACCCAAUGCAUAAACGAGCUAAACUUGAUUGCACCUAAUGAUAACAUGUUCUAGCAAAAGUUUCAAAGUAAAUUAGUACUAUGAUAACAUCAAAUCAAGCACUCAAUGCCUUCAUAAGAAUUCUGUUCUCAAAUUUACAUUUAAUCCUUAACAUAUAUGCUGAAAAUUGAUAAUACAUAAAGCAUUAUGUGAAGCAAAAUAAGUGUAUAUCUCCAAAUAAUAAAUUGUUCAACUGAACAAAACUUUACUCCUGUGCAGUUUAUUUGUGGAACUCCUGAUUUUUUUACAUGCAUUUGAAAAGUUUAGCAAAUAUGUUGGCAGUUCACAAAUUUUGACAUUCAAGUCAUCCACAAAACCAGUGAGAUACAAAGAGCCAUUCUGCUCAAGCCAUCUACUAAGGGAAACUUAAUUCUCUUCCUCUUGAUUCCAACUUGCAAUAACAUAAUUUCAUGAAUACUGUAGCAGACUAAUAUUAUGAAAAUCAGAAUUAUAAAGCACUUGAUUUGAAGCCUAUGAAAGAUAUCUUCUCCAGUCAAACAAAAUGACCAUAUUACAUACGAGAAGCAUAAUAUGCAAAGUACUUCAAGGUUAAUCUGAAGAAAACUUUUAGGCAAUGAAUAGCCUUAGCAGUCAUCAAUCCACAAAGUUGACUCUCUCAUUCUUCUGUAUAUAUAUUAGUAAUUGACAAAUCAACAAUUAGACAUGUCAAUAAAUGAUUACCAUGCAGGCACAUUUUCCCUGACUUUAGGAAAAGCCAAUGAAAUUCUCCACCAUGACUUCUUGUUGUUCUCUUCAAGAUUGCUUUGUUGUUCACUUCUCUCCUCACAAAUGUCCCCUUCAGCUAUCAUAGGAAGGAAGGAACUAGCACCAAGAAGAGUAGAAACAGAAUAAGAAUGGCCUUUGACUUGCUCUAUCAUAGCUCCUGAUCCUUUCAACUCCCCAAAUCUUAAAAUAGUGCCAUCUACAGGACUAACCUGAAUAAAAAAAGAACAUUUCCAUAAAAAUUUUACAGCAGUUAGUAGGACAUCUAACAGAACAACUUGGACAAGUAGCACAAGCAGCUUGUUACCAGUUACCAGACAAUGUGGAUCAGGGUCUAUAGGCCUGGAACCUUCUUUCAACCCACGAACAAAAAAUUCUCUUAAAGAAGCAUAUCUGUCGAGAGGGAGAGCUGCUUCUUCUAAGUCUAAGAGACAAAACAAUGUUAUUAACGUACUGCAUUUUCUUCAUUUUUGGAAAAUCAUUCGCAUAUUAUGCCAUUGUUAUAAGAUAUUACAAUGAUCAACAAUGCAAUAUAUCUUCAGAUCAGGCAGUAACAAAAGAAAAAUACUAAUACAUAUAUCAAUCAUACUUGAAUGGAACGCUCGAGCCCAAGAUCUGUAGACAUACGGACGCACCCAGGGAGGAAGUUCCUGAAAACAUGUUCCCUUAGCAACUUGUAUUUGUCAUGGCUUAAUGGUCAGGACAGCAGUGUAAAAAGCAAUGACCGUCAGUUUUCAUAAUAUAAUCAAACAGCAGCAUUUAGACUGUGAAAUAUUGCUUGAACAGAAAAUUAAGCUAAUAUUAUGAAUAAAAUCAAUGACAUAUCACCUGAGGUAUUGUUAAGUUCUUUAACCUCCAUUGAAUUAAAAAAUAACUUAAAUUCACAAUUACCCACUCUGACACAUAACAUAGUUUUACCAACAACUCUGUUCCUAUUAUACCAAAAAAUGCAUUGGACAAAGGGGGAGAGAGAGAGAGAGAGAGAGAGAGAGCAAAGAAUUGAUCAUAGAACUAUAUUGUCGCUUCAGGAAUAGGAAAUAAUACUCACCACAUUUGUCAAGGUACCCCAAAAUCUGGAAAUGGAGCGUAAAGGUAGCAUCCUUAAAAAUGUAGCCUAAAAUUGGAAUUGCCAUAGAAAGCACUUGUUAGACAUGUCAUUACAGCAUAUGAAUAGUUGAAACCAAAUAUCAAUUCAUGGGCAAUCAAAUAACUGAAUUACUUUAAAGUCAGGCUGAAACUCUAUUUCAAUUCCUUUCUCCCGAGCCUCCUCUGUCUGCCCAAAAGAAUAAAGAAAAAGAGAGUGAGUAACCAAAAUUAGUAACAAAGUAAUCAUUAUCUGAACGCCAACAUACUGCUUAUUAAACUCCUCAGGAUUAUUACACAAAGCAAAUAUAACAGGCAACAGAAGACUGUAGAAAAAUACAAGCACUUAAGGAAUCAUAGGAAUGAAACAAGAUAACAUAUUAAAAGCAGCAGUUGUAUGUUUCUUCAUGCAUAUCAUUUAGGUACCUUUUUGUCUUCGUAGAGCCGACGAGCGUGUAGAGCACCAAGCAUGAGUAUCGUAGCCACAGUUGCACCUGGCAACAGCAAAUGGCUACCUGCAUAGAUAUUAAUUAAUGAGCUUCACAUAAUCACAUGUUUUGCAUAGAUACUAAUCAAAUCAAUCAAUAAACACCGCCAAUUUGCUGAUUGUCUAUUUGUUUUAGAAAUGUUGUUUGAACCAAACAGCAAAUAAAUUAAAUGAACAGUAGAAAUACGUUAGCACACUAUAAUUUAUCAUUUUCACCGUCACUGCGUUUAAGAACAAUAAAAAAUAUCAGUUUUUUUAAUACUAUCGUCCAAACAAUGCCCCGCCAAUAAAAUUAAUGUAACUGACCUUGGGAGUUGUUGCUGCUACCGCUUCCAUUGAAAGAAGCGCGCGCUUGAGACGCUGUUUGAACCUUUUUAAGAAAUGAAGUGAAGAGUUGGCGUUGGUGAUACUGGUGGUGGUUCAAGCGUAAAUUAUGAGGGAUGAUAGGGACUUUUUGGGAAAACCGAAAUUUCAUCUUUCUUCUGUGGAAUGGUUUGAUUCGCAGGGAUAAUUUGUUUCGUUAGGGUUUUCCGGCAGGGUUUUUAAAGUUUCAAUGAAUGCAUGAUUUGUGAGUGAAAAGUACAUAAAACGGCAAUUACCUGCACCGUUUUUGCACUAUAUUACCUUGUUUUCUCUUCUUCUGAAACGGCUAUUUUUCCAGUUGUCACUGAUAUCAGGGCAUGAUGCUUGAGGCUUAUAUUUAACUAGCAAUUGGGGUGUCAAUGGAUAAUUAUUGAUAAUCUUUUAAUUAAAUAUUCUAUUUGAAAUAUUUUAUUUUAAUUUUAUAAUACAUAUUAUAAAAUAAUUAUAUUUAUUAUUAAUUUAUUUUAAUAAACAUGUAAUAUUAUUAUUUUAUUUUAAUAAUUUAAAAUUUUAAUAAUUAUAAAAAUAUGAAAUAUAAAAAUAUGUAUAGUAAAUUAAUAGAAAUAUAUAUAUUAUUAAUUUUAUAUUAUAUUUAACUAUUAUUUUAUUUUAAUAAAUAAUUUAAAAUAUUAUUUUAUUUGAUCAGUAUUUAAUAUUAUAAUAUUUUUAUUUUAUUUAACUAUCAUUUAAUAUUAUAAUAAAUUAUUAUAUGACCAUAUCAAAAUUAUAUAUUUUUAUUAAAAUCUUAUCUGAAAUGUUGUUAAGUGAAGUUUUAUGAAAAGAUUUGUCCCAAUAUAUAUAUAUAAUGAAUAUAAUGAAUUUAAUCUAUUAUUCUUAAUUUGACAUAAAUUAAAUAAAUAAAAAACAUGUUAUAUAUAAUUAUAAAUUUUUUAAAAUAUGUUUUAUCUAUUUUAUGCGAAUAGGAUUACCGGCUCAUCCGAUCGGUAUAUAUAUUUUAUAAUUUAUUUUAANNNNNNNNNNNNNNNNNNNNNNNNNNNNNNNNNNNNNNNNNNNNNNNNNNNNNNNNNNNNNNNNNNNNNNNNNNNNNNNNNNNNNNNNNNNNNNNNNNNNNNNNNNNNNNNNNNNNNNNNNNNNNNNNNNNNNNNNNNNNNNNNNNNNNNNNNNNNNNNNNNNNNNNNNNNNNNNNNNUAUUAUAAUAAAACAUUAAUUUCAACAAUCUUUGGUAGUUAUAACAAUUGUAUUCUUGAGCGAAUUCCGAUUAUAAUGUUCUAUUGGUUUUAUAAUUAUAAAAUUAAUUAUUACUCGAUGUAUUUCAAAAUUUCAUAAUUGUAUAUAUGAUUAUGCACUCAAGCUAUAAAUGAAAAUAUAUAAUUGAGAAAAAUCAAUUUAGCAUAAAUACAGAAAAUGGUUUAAAAUACAAUAAUUUUAAAAUUAAUAAAUCUUUCAUGCAUUUGUAAUUAAAAAAUGGACGAAAGUAUAAAAAUAUAUUUUAUGGAUAAAUAUUUUUAUAUUUAGAGGAUUGUGAUUAUUUUCGUAAAAAAUAAAUAUAUUGCGGUAUAGUUUUUUUAUAUUUUUACCAUCUUACAAAUCAAUAUUUUUAAAUUUUUAUAAUAUAAUAUUUAUUUUUAAUAAUAAAACUAUUUUAUAGGUGACUUAUUAUUAAAUCAACUAUCCUGAUUUUUUUAAAAUAUUAUAAUUUUAUUUUAAAAAUUAUUUUAUUUUAUUUCUAAUAAAAUUAAAAAAUAUAAUUAAUUUCAUUAUAUAUAAAUUCAAUGUAAUCAGAUUUAAAUCGUAUAAUAAGUGACUUUAUUAUAAAAGAAUAAAUAUUAUACUAAUAUUAAAUCAAAAAAAUAAAAGAUAUUAAUUUAUAAUGUAGUAAAAAUAUAAAAAAAAUGUAAAUCACAUGAUAUUUUUUUAUUACAAAAAAAAUUAUAGUCCUCUAAGUGUAAAAAUUCCAACCCACAAAGCACCUUUUUUUUACUUUUUCCCAAAAAAUAUUCACAUAAAAGUAUUAAUUUUACAAAAAUUAAAAUUUUACUUAUAGUAUAUUAAAAGUUUCUAUAUAAAAAGCUGCUUAAAAUUCAAGUAAAUAUCACGAAUAAAUGAUUUUUCAUAUAUAUAAAAUCUUACUGUUGGACUGUGGCGCUACCGCGGAACCUAUCUCCAUUAUUCACUGUAUUAUCGAUUCAAUAUAUAUUCUUAGGUCAUGUUUGAUAAAACUAAAAAUUAAAUAAGCUUUAAAUUUUAAAUAUUGGAUAUGAUAAAUAUUCAGGUUCUUAAGUGAAUCAAUCUAUUUGAUUAUUGUGAUUACAUAUAAUUAUUAAAUUUUUUAUUAUGCAUUAUUUAAUUCUAUAAUAUACAGUUUUAAACUUAUAAAAGGAAUAAAAGUUACAAAUAAAAAUCUAUCAUACAAAUGGAUUGUAGUUUUAUAUUAUCUGAGCUUCCAAUUCUCAAACUGGAAUAUAGAAAUACGAGAAAAAACAAAAAAAAGAAAAAACAAGAAGCAAGGAUCCCAAUAAAAGGUACUUCUAGAAUGGAAUCAAAAAAUAGAAAGGAGUCCCAUAAUCUACAAUGAAAAGAGCCAUUAAAAAAAAUUGUUAGCGAGAUAAUUACUCUUUUAUCAGUUAACUUUAUAUAACGUACUACCUAUUUAAUGAUUUUUCCUAGUAAUUCAACUUCAAUUAUCGCCGAGCCGAUAAACGCCAUAACUUGACCAAAAUGAAUUAUAGACAGAGAAACGAAGACAAACUAGAUACAGUGGCAAAUCGGAACAAGAACUGAGAAAAAGGAAGCAACCAGCUCAGCUCAGCUCUUUAACCCAUGUCAGAUACAGUGAAGUAUGGGAUCAUAGGAACAGGGAUGAUGGGUAGAGAACAUCUCAUCAAUCUCCACCAUCUUCGCCACCAAAACGUGGCUGUUGUUUGUAUAGCUGAUCCUCACGUCCCCUCCCAGCAACUCGCCAUUGAAUUUGCCCAAUCGUUUGACUGGCCUCUUAAGGUUUAUUCAUAUACACGCUUCCUUUGCUUGGAAAUUUCCUUCUAUAAUUGGAUAUUUGUUUCAUUUUGUUACUCGAUGAUUUGCAUUAGGUAUUUUCAGGGCAUCAAGAGCUACUGGAUAGUGGGCUUUGUGAUGCUGUGGUUGUGUCAUCUCCAAACAUGACUCAUUAUCAAAUCCUUAUGGAUAUUAUUAAUCACCCCAAACCCCAUCAUGUGCUAGUGGAGAAGCCACUGUGUACCACUGUUGCUGAUUGCAUGAAGGUCUGCCCACAUGGUUACCUUAGAAAGAAAUGAAAAGAAAAACUAAGCUUAUGCUCGAUGGUAAUGCAUAUUUAGCAGUUGUUUGAUCAUUCUGUCUUAUUGGAUGCUAAAUUUAUUAUAAGGUUGUAGAUGCUGCUAGAAAGAGGUCAGAUAUGCUCGUGCAAGUUGGAUUAGAGUACAGAUACAUGCCACCAGUUGCUAAGCUGAUUGAAAUUGUCAAAGGUGGAUCUCUUGGACAAGUCAAAAUGGUGGCAAUCCGGGAACAUAGAUUUCCAUUUCUGGUUAAGGUAAAUAGCGCUAACUUAGCUUUUGAAGUUGUCAUUGCAGCGUCAAUGUUCUUGACUAAUGCUUGUAUUAGGUUAACGAUUGGAACCGCUUCAAUGCCAACACAGGGGGGACUUUGGUAGAGAAAUGUUGUCAUUUCUUUGAUCUUAUGAGGCUGUUUGCAGGUGCAAAUCCUGUUCGAGUCAUGGCUUCAGGAGCUAUAGAUGUUAAUCAUAAAGAUGAAGUCUAUGAUGGGAAGGUAAAUUUAUGGUCUUAGCAAUUUGAUGAAGAUCCUGUAUACAAAUUUUCCUGAGAAAAAGUCGAGUUUAUGUUUUUUCUUUGUGAGGUUAUACUGCUGCUGGACCUAGAGAAGAAAAUGAACAAAGCAUGCUCUAAAUUGCUGUUAGCUCAAAUCAAUGAGCAAUAACCUGGAUCCUAAUUUAUCUGUAGCCUAUUCUAAUAGAAUUCAUCAUUCUGUGCUUCACUAUGUAUAAUAAUAGUUUUGGUCUACAAUUUCUCAACCACAGUCUUGCAUAUGAAAUUCAAUUUCUCACAGAAAAGAGGUUUAACUACAGUCUAAUCAAGCAAUUAGCUGGUCGUUUUAUGCUGGGCGAUGGAAAGUUGAUGAUGGUGAAGUUACCCUGUGCUUAUGUUUGGAACAGGGCUUUAUCUCCUGAUCUUGUAGUAAUGUCAUCUGUUUUUGCCAGUUGUUUGAGUGUAAUUGAACCAAGAUGACUGUCCAAUCCUUGUUGAUGUCCUUCUACGAAUUUUAGGACAAUUUUGCACUUUUCUUCACUUUCCAGUUAAGUAAUUCAUAAGUUAACUAAUUAGAUUGACAGUUUUUGAACUCUUCUAUAUUUGACUUUUCAUGUUUUGAGUUUAGACUGUUCAAAGCUUUCUUAGCAGUAGUUAGGAAUUUUUCCAUUUGGUUAUUUUGAGGUAACCUUUAUCCUUUUGAUAAAUUUGAUCUGGAUUCAGGUACCAGACAUUAUUGACAAUGCAUAUGUCGUUAUCGAGUUUGAUAAUAGUUCUCGGGGAAUGCUUGAUCUUUGCAUGUUUGCUGAAGGGAGUAAAAAUGAACAAGAAAUCUCUGUUGUCGGUGACAUUGGAAAGGUAUUGAAUCUUUUCCUCUCUCUUCCCCCCUCACCUCCCGUGCAUACACAUUUGAUUGGCACUGAUAUACAGAUAGACUCUUUCAUCUGGCAAUAGACACCAUAGGAUAGGGUAGGGCAGAAGACGAACAGGCGGGCCUUCCAACCAAGUGUGUGAGGUCGGAAGUUGGAACUGAAGAAGGUUACCUGGGAACUGAACUCUCUCUCUCAUUCUUUGAUAGGACAGUGGCAACAAGCUUCUAUAGACUGCUCAGCCUGUCCUGUUUUUCUCACUUCAUAUCUUUUGGGUGGAUGCAGAGUUAACCAAGCGACAUAUCCAACUGUGGCCUAAACUUUGUACAUUUAAUUAAUUCAAUGUGUGAUUCAUAUAUUGAAGUGCUUUAUUCUGGGGUAUGCUAUGCCUGUUUUUGAGCUCACUUUAAUUCCACCUAUUACCUUGCAACAGGGGGAGGCCUUUGUUCCUGAGAAUAUUGUGCGCCUUGGUACUCGAGUAGCAGGUAGAGAUGGUGUUCAAACAUUCAAAGCUGAGGAUGGCCGAAUAAAGUGGGUCUCCUUUCUUACAUUUUAUUAUUUUGUAUUAUUAACUUGCUCGUGGUCAUUUCUUAAAUUACAAUCGUAGACUGUUUUUAAUAUGAUUCUUAAAAUCUAACUUGUUUUGCAGAUAUGAUGGACUGCAUCAUGGUUCUAGCUAUUUGGAACACCUUAACUUCCUAUAUGCAAUUCGUGCUAAAGGUGAAAAAGCUCCUGCAGUGGAUUUGCAAGAUGGUUUGAUUUCAGUAGCCAUUGGAGUUGCAGCGCAGCUUUCUAUUGAAAAGGGUCGAUUUGUUAUGAUUAGUGAAGUCAUGGAUGAACAUCAGCACAAUGGUCCAAAUUGAAUCCUGAUUUUGAUGACUCUAUUCGUUGGCUGUUUCAGCUCUCCUGUUGAACAUAUUAAUGUACUCCAUCUCCUCCCUUGAAAUACUCGUGUAUAAAUUACAAAAGAGGAGUAGUGAUGUUGUAUAAAGAUUACAAAAACCUGUCAAUCAUUUACAGAACCUGCUUACCGCAUUCCCUAACCUUCAGUUGUCAGCAUUAUUUUCCUGUAUUAAUAUGCUUUCUUCUGCUGCACAAAUGCUAUCCAACUUAUGAAUGAUUAUUAUUUCUUUUUGUUCAUGAUAAUACAAGACAAUGUCUGCUUUACCGCUCUUUUAGAUCAUUACUUUGUAGGUGAGAAUCAUGCCUGCUUGACAAAGCUUUUUCAGUCUCCCAAUAAACUUUAUGAAUCGUUUCCCCGACGGUGGAAACAUGGGAACAACAACUCCGGAAAGAGUGAGAAAAAGAAGUAGCUAUUAGAAGUUUGAGUUGAAAUGCUAGAUUCAGUCAAAUUGAUCAUAAUUUGUCAGUUUCUUUGAAUGUAAAACAUUUUCUCUUGUAGGAGAUUUAAUUGUCAAAAUCGGCAAUGAAAUUGGAAUAUUAUUGGACUCAUUAUUCAUUUCUAUUCGCUUACUGAUCUUUUCAAAUUUCUCGUCAUUCAGGUAGAUUAAUUAUGAAGGCAAUUGCAGUAAUUAAAUAGAAGUGGUAAUUUUCUUGUGUUAAUGGAAUUUUCUUUUUCUUCAAUUGAGUGGAGAGUGGAGACCAUUCUCAACAUUCUCUUUAAUAAUUUAAAUUGCAUUCACCACUUGCAUAUUCUCCGUGCGUGUAUUACCUCAACAUAGAAUAAGACCGUAUUUUCUCAGACUGAUAAACUGAUGGAAUGUGUGUAGCACGUGCGAGUUAAUUAAUUAAUGAAUUACUAUUAUUAUUUUGAGUGUUGGAGUAUACUUGUCACUCGUCUGAGUAAUACAAGCGUACAUGCAAGUCAUUCCCAAUUGAGUCGCGUAUAUUCCUAGUGCGCAUUUUAAGUGUGUUACGCAUCCCGCACAAAGUAAAAGCAGCUCCUAAUACUAUAAAUAUUCCACGACUUGGCGCGCAUUUGUAAAUUUUUUCACUUAUUUUGCUUCAAAUCAAAAUGGAAGAGGAUGGAGGAGAAAGGUCAAGCAUCGUGAUCAGCCUAAUAGAAAACAGAGCCAAAGAGGUAAGUUAUUCCGUUUGGUUGCCUACAAAUUGCCGAAAGUGAAGGAAAAAUCGGCAAUAACUUCUGUGAUUGAACAGGAAAUCUUACUGUUUGACUUACUUUUGAAUUAAAUUUAGAGUUUGAAUAAAAAUGCUAAAAUAUACUGCUUGAAUUCGUAAAAAGUAUGUUGAAUCUUCAGUUUUGAAUUUCUCUUGAGAUGCUUAUUAUAGGCGACAACUGCAUUUUAGCUCAAAUAUUAGUGUUAUAAUGAAAAGGUUUAGCCACGGAGAAGCAAGCAAUUCUGAACUACAUGAGAUUUUAUAUAAUUUGAGCAUUUCUAGUUGAGCGUCUUUGAUAUAGUAAUUAGGUUUCUAAGAGCUGAUUUAAAGAUGCUCUAUAGCCUAAAAUAGUUGAUUUUAACUAAUUUUGUAGGUGGGAAUGGCUGCUUUUGACUUGAGGUCAGCUUCAUUGCAUCUUUCUCAAUAUAUUGAAACAAGUAGCUCUUACCAGAAUACGAAGACCUUGUUGCAAUUUUAUGAUCCUAUGGUGGUCAUUGUUCCUCCAAAUAAAAUGGCACCUGAUGGAAUGGUUGGAGUUUCAGAAUUGGUUGAUCGAUUCUAUGCUUUAGUCAAGAAGGUGAUGGUUUCCUUUAAGUAAUUUGAAUUCUGCUUCUGCAUGUACUUGUGCAUGCAUAUGAACUCAAUUAUAGUUGCUGAACUUUUGUAGGUUGUGAUGGCCCGUGGUUGCUUUGAUGACACCAAGGUUACACCAAGAACUUGCCAUGCUUUACUUGUGUUCUACUUGUAGACGCUUAUUAUAUCUCUUUCUUGGUAAUGCCUUUUUUCUUACUUAUUCCAGGGUGCUGUACUAAUUAAAAGUUUAGCAGCCACGGAACCUUCAGCACUUGGUCUUGAUACUUACUAUAAGCAGUAUUAUCUCUGCCUGGCUGCUGCUGCAGCUACAAUGAAGUGGUACUCUAAGAAUGUUAAUGUUCAGAAUAUUUGAUGGGAUAGGAAUAUCUUAAUUUCGAAUGCAAUUCAUUUACAGUGUGCACCAAUGGUUGGCCUAGACACUGGAGUUGGGAACAAAUUGCAUUGAUUCUAGAGGCAUAGCUUAAGCAGUCCUUAUUGUUCAACCAGGAAGCAGUAAACUUCCUCAAUGCCUGGUUAAUUAGUUUUCAACGCUGUUAAGUCAGAACAUAUGUUUUGGCAUGUUAGAUGAUUAUUAAUGUGCCCAUAAAUCAAGAUAAAAAGAAAAGUCCUCGAAUGUCUGUGUGGUUGCCUUGAAAAUUGAGGUCAUAUUGCAGCUAUGGCCCUAAUUGUGCCUGUUAUGUUUCUUUUGAACUUUUUCACCUUGCAAAUUUCCUAAUAUCUCCAAUUUGCUUACAAUUAUUACUAAUUGAUUCUAACAUACGCGUUUCAAUGUACACAGGAUAGAAGCUGAGAAAGGGGUCAUUGUUACAAACCAUUCAUUAUUGGUAUGUACUCUGUACUAUAUCUUCCUUUUAUGCCAGCGGAAAAAUUAAUCAACAAAUUGGUUGUGUCACCAGCAUUUUCCUCUCUUGAAAUAAUGAUCAUGUGGUUAAAUGUGAGACUAUGUGGAUUGCCUAUAGGGCCUAGGGAGAGUGAAAGGCAUUACAGAUGUAGGAUUUUUUUCCUUCCAGCCUUACAAAUACUCGAAAUCCUAUUUCUCUCACAUACUUGGUACACUUUUGGGUACCUGCCAAGAAUGUUUAGAGUGGACCUAUGAUCCUCUAAUUUUUAGCAGUUCACUUGAGUAUUAAAUGUGAUUGUCCCUAUCUUAUACCAAGAUGCCCUGGGUUUUAUGCCAAUUGAUGUUGAUCCUCACUCACUACUUAUCUAACUGAAAGAUCUUCCAUAAAAGUCAGAUUUGAUGAACAUUACUUAGAGUGAAUUAUCUGGUUCAUUUAUCAUGAAUCUUAACUGCAGCCAAUUUUUGCAUGAAUCUCUAGAAGUAUAAUUUCACGAGUGCUUCAAGAUUUUGUUGAGCAUAUAGCAGCUACAUUGACAUUAUAACUCAAAUGCAAAUUAUCUUUUUGUGCUCCCACAUAGAACUCAAGCUACAUGCACGCUUACAGUGUAUGUAAUAAAGAAUUCUGACCUUCAUUUUGUGGAAUUUAUGCUAUCCCAGGUUACCUUUAAUGGUUCAUUUGACCACAUGAAUAUUGAUGCAACUAGGUAUAUUUUCUUUCUCUGCUGGAUGAUUGUCUCAAUUUCUAGUGUACUAUGGGUCAGGUUAAAACGAUGGUAUUUUGAAUAUAAAAUGCAUUUAAUUUAGGAAGAUGCCUAGAAGAUAAAACCUAACCAUAUUUAGAAUUCCAUUUGAAGUUUUUUAUUAAGAAAUUUCUGGUUGAAAUUUCGUGGCAGUGUCCAGAAUCUGGAAAUCAUUGAGCCACUUCAUUCUUCCCUUUGGGGCACAACCAACAAGAAAAGAAGUCUAUUCCAUAUGCUUAAGACGACAAAAACUGUAGGAGGGUAUGUAUAAUCUUAUAACUUGGUAGAUCCAGCACGUCAUUUUGUGAAUUGUAAGCUCAAGCAUGGAAGAAAAAAAGUUGGGCCCUUCUUAAUAUUCAGAAAUUUCAAUUCCAUACAGGNNNNNNNNNNNNNNNNNNNNNNNNNNNNNNNNNNNNNNNNNNNNNNNNNNNNNNNNNNNNNNNNNNNNNNNNNNNNNNNNNNNNNNNNNNNNNNNNNNNNNNNNNNNNNNNNNNNNNNNNNNNNNNNNNNNNNNNNNNNNNNNNNNNNNNNNNNNNNNNNNNNNNNNNNNNNNNNNNNNNNNNNNNNNNNNNNNNNNNNNNNNNNNNNNNNNNNNNNNNNNNNNNNNNNNNNNNGAUUUAGCAUAGAUGUAGGUUUUUCGCGGUUGCUAUGUGUAUGGAACUGAAUUUUGUGAGCACACUCAAAACCAUCUAAAAAGGUAGAGAAAAAAAAUGAGAGAAUAAAAGAAAAGGAGGACCACUAUUUCUACUGUAAUUUUAGUGAUUUUUUUUUUAAAUUUAUUUUAAUUUUUAUAAAAUAUUAUUUGAGUUAGUAGCAACUGCUUAAACCUUGUACAUCAACACUUAACACUUAUUGCAUAAUUACAUCAUAAACCCCAGUGUGGCAAACUUUGACUCGUGUUGGUGAGACCAUGUUAACUAUCUAGGUUCAAUUCCUUUAGUUGGCUGUAAAGUUAUUCCCGAACAGUGCCCACUAAGACGAGUCAUAUGCACUGUAAUUCUUAUUUAGUAAAAGAUUCGAUUUUUCAUGCUCACUGUUUAAUUUUAUUUUGUUGCUAUAGCUCCUGAUUUUCAUGAACAGCUUGCACACCUGUCUUUUAAUCUCAUCCAAAAGAAUUUUCAUUUCAGGAUGAACUGAUGAGCAAUGAGCAACUGUUCUUUGGACUCUCUCAGGUUCUGCGUAAGUUUCCGAAAGAGACUGGUAAGGAAAAAUCUAAAUAAGAAAUGCCAACAGAAUUAAUAUGUCUUGGCCCUGCCCCCUCAAAGUCCUCAGGACCUCAGGACUGGGUGUUGAUGGUAAAUGUUCUGGAAGUCAAGGCAGUUUUGUUUUAAAAUAUAACGUCGAUCUUGUUCAUGCUCUUCAUUCAGAUAGAGUACUCUGCCAUUUCUGCUUUAAGCCAAAGAAAGUUACGAAUGAGGUUUUGGGUGAUAAUGCUAGAAAGAGUCAGGUGUUGAUAUCAAGUAUUAUUUUACUUAAAACUGCCCUAGAUGCGUUACCUUUACUCUCAAAGGUAAGUUUGUUAUAUUUUUGCGUGCACCAUUGAGUUUUCUAUGAACUCAAAUACAUUUUACAUUAAUGGGGCUCUGAAAUAUUUUAGGUGCUUAAAGAUGCAAAAAGUUUUCUUCUUGCAAAUGUUUACAAGACUAUAUGUGAAAAUGAGAAAUAUGCUUCCAUCAGAAGAAGGUACAUUGCAAUUUUAGUUGCUGAGUUGGAAGUACUGCCAUCUGGUUUUGAGUUUCUUGAUCAUAGGCCAAAGUAUCUUUGGCCAAAAUAUGGGCUAAUUCUUACUAGAAAUAAAAGGAGAGAAAUAUUUACAGCCAAAAAUCCCAUCUCUAACUUAAAUAAUGUAAGCCUACAGUAAUUAGCCCCUUCAGUUAUUUGAAGCUUUAGAAUCUUCUCAAUGUUCUGUUGCAUGCAGAAAAGCACUUUGUCGAUGAUUUUCCAUCCUGGGAAUUCCUGAUGCAUAAGCUUCCUGCUUUUGAGAGUCAACAGCGUGUCUUGUAUCAUACAGAACCAGCCCCUACUUUUCUUUAGAGAGUGUUUUCACAACUUGAACCUGAAACCUUCCUGUAAAAAAGAAACAACCUUACCGUCGCAUUCACAUGUAAUCUUUACUAAAACUGAGUGACUAUAAAACUUCACCUUUUAUCUGGAAAAACUUCUCUUAUUAAAACUCAGAGACUCAUGACUAUAAAACUACAGUUAUUAUCUGAAGAAACUUCUUUUCUCAUUUUAUCCCUAAAGAAUUGGAGAGGUGAUAGAUGAAGAUGUGCUUCAUGCACGGGUUCCCUUUGUUGCCCGAACGCAGCAGUGUUUUGCUGUCAAGGCUGGGAUUGACGGACUUCUGGAUAUUGCACGGAGAACAUUUUGUGAUACCAGUGAAGGUUUUAACAGUCUAGCACUUUUUCAUUCUUAAAAAUUUUCUUUUUGCAUCCAUUUAUAUGCUUGUUGUUGCUUUUGGCAUUACCUAUUCAAAUAUGAUAGGUAUACAUAAUCUUGCAAACAAGUAUCGUGAAGAAUUCAAGAUGCCAAACUUGAAACUUCCAUUUAAUAGUAGACAAGGCUUUUACUUUAGCAUUCCGCAUAAGGACAUCCAGGGAAAGCUGCCAAGCAAGUUUAUUCAGGUAGUUGAAUAACAUCCUUUUUCUACUUAUUCAUACCAAAAUCUCCUUAUUACCAUCUGAUGGACUUGUGAAACAUAAAUCAGGUCCUGAAACAUGGAAACAAUAUACAUUGCUCCACCUUAGAACUUGCUUCCGUGAGUAUCUUCUUCAUUUCAUGGGUUUAUUUAUUAUUUGCAUGAAAUUUACUAAUCUGUUAUUGUAAGAAGUGAGGAUAGUAUUGUUUCAUAGUUCAUUUGAUAUCAUCUCAAUAUGCUGUUGUGGCUGCAUGGAUACUGUGUCAUUGUUUCAGGAUUGCAUUUGGAAUGAAAAUUAAGUGAAAUAUUAUACUAAGUCUAAGAACCUGAGCUUUACUGACUGUUUAAUCAUAAAGGACCAUCUGGAGCUGUAAUUUUCUUAAGAUUAGUUCUGGAUGCAACUGUGGUAAGGUUCGGGAGAUACAUAUAGCAAAACAAAUUAAGUAUGCUUAAGGGAUCAUUCAUAAGAGACCCAUUCAAAUGAUUUAUUUUUUAGGUAUUGCUCCUAGUGUUCCAGACUUCUUUUUAUAACCAGAUUCUGGUUUUCUUUUCUUUUCUGUUUCUCCCUUAAAGACCAUAUUGAUUAACAUUUAUGCUGUGUAAUUGGUUCAUUAAACAUUUCAUCUCAAACAACUCCUCCUACCUUUAGUUCAGCGGAAUUUAAGCAAUAAACUCGAAUUAAACUUUAAAAGGAAUUCCAUUAUGCAUGUUCUGUCAGGUUAUGUAAUGUUAGAUAUGGUACCAUAUGACUCUGCCUAUUGUUAUUUUCUUUCUUGAUGUAAUUACUUUACCUUUAUGCAUUAGCUGUACAUUCAAUUAAAAUGGCUGGGUCCUGGGAAUGUUUUAAUUCAUUGUUGCUCUAUUGCAUUAAAUGUGCAGCUGAAUGUCAGAAAUAGGUCUGCAGCUGAGGAAUGCUAUAUAAGAACAGAAGUUUGCCUUGAAGGUUGUACUAGCAAUUUAUAUGAGUUUCCAAAAUGUUUUCUUAUCACUUCAUCGAUGGAGCAUUACCUAUGCAUCUCUGAUUUUAGUAAAGUUCUUAAUUUCUUUACCAUAAUUGGCAGCAUGAAGCCUGCUUUCUUGAUAUAUCAACUGGUUAGUAUAUGGAUAGUCACAUGCUGGAUGGAUCUAAUUCAUAUUAUUGUAAACAUCCUGGUAACAGUACUAGACUUGGUUGGUCUUUUUACAGUUUUCUAGUUGAAGGCCAUUCUGUGCCUUGACUGUGAGGAAUGGAAGUAAGAAGUUAAUGACUGAUGCCUUGAAUGGGGUUUAUCAAUUUCCAUGAUGGAAAUAUCUUGUCUUAAUUGGACUUGAUUAUAAUUUCUUAUACUUCUAUAAGCCAUUGAACUAUAAAAUACUCUUUUCUAAUUAAUUUCUAGCAAAAACUUACAAGUCUGGAAGGAUGAUACUGUAGUACUUUGUUAGAAACAUGGUCAAUCUUGCUUUUCAAUAACCACUUCUGAUGAUGCUGGAAGCCCCAUCAUAUGGUAAGGAAAGCAAAAUAGAAAUAUAGUUAAUGUAAGAGGCACCACUUCACAAUAUUGUAGUUUUUUUUUUUUGAUUCAAUGCAAUAUUGUAGUUUUAUAUUCAAGGAAUUAUGGAUAUUAAGUAGUUAUUUUACAUGUGGCGCUUUUUUCGUUAUACUGGUAUGGAGGUCAUUAGACUUGAGAAUUACAAGUUUUAUCUGUACCAUCAUUAUCAAGGGAAUCUUAUAUUGCAAGUUCUUUCUGUACCUCCUGUAGCAAAGGAAUUAAUGUGAACAUCUGAUGUAUGGACUACCAAUAGGGAUUCUACUUACCAGCACUCAAAGUCUUAUUUUUCUAUUAGCUACUUUUUAUAUCUGGCAGAACCGGGUAGUGAUGGGACAAGUUCUCUUGAUGUACAUGUUUCUUUCUACAUGCAGUAUGCCUGCCAUAUAGCCUCGUUUGUUACUGAAGCAAGGUCACUGGAUUUGCAGCUCUAUUAGAUGCUAUAAGGGAGGAUGCCUCUGCACUCACACUGCUUGCUGAGGUUUUAUGCCUGUUGGAUAUGCUUGUUAAUUCAUUUGCUCAUACAAUUUCAACUAAGCUCGUUGACCGUUAUACUAGACCAGAAUUCACUAGUAAGCAAUUUGGAUGUUCUUUAAAUUAUAUCUUGUGAACUUCUGAUAUGAACAGGCUUGUAUAAUAAUUUGCUAUAUUGGCAGGUAGUGGGCCAUUGGCAAUUGAUGCUGGAAGACACCCUAUCUUGGAAAGCAUACACAAUGACUUUGUUGUAAGUAACUCCGUCUGGUUGUUUCAUUGCUUCAAAAUAAUAUAAUCCUUUCUGUGACUAAAUAAGGAUAAGGGUAUCUAGAUCUGGUCCAAUAUGAACUGUUAUAGGAGAUUCAGAAACUAUUGCAUCCUAAUAAAAGGAGGAACCAUAUAAUUCAAUCAAAUUGGAAAAAUAAGAAAAAGAAUCAAUGUGUGGAUUCCAGCCAUCCGUUUCUGUUGGUAGCGGAACUCUUCUUUAUGUAUGAUCUUUGGUAUGUAGAAGCACCUUUUUAUUUUGUGAUUUCUCUCAUUAGUGUUCUUGGGAAGUGUUCAUGAGCUCUUUUUGCAGCCAAACAAUCUCUUUGUUUCAGAAGCAUCAAACAUGGUCAUUGUCAUGGGACCAAAUAUGUAAGUGAUACUUAUUAAAGUUGCUCAUGUCCGAACAUGAAAUAGUCUAUGCACUGUAUCAUUUCUUCUGAACUUGUAAUUGAGGCCUUAUCUACAUUAAGCCUGCCCACAAUAUAGUCCUUUUUCUUGCUACCCCUUCCCCCUACUCUUUCAGGUGCUAUAGUAAUACAUGUUAAAUUCAGAACAUAAAGAAUCAGAAAAAGAUCCUUGGAUUCUCUAUACUUGAACUGAUGGCUUAUAUAUGAUCAUUUUGACUGGCCUUCAGAUUGUUCUUCCAAAAUAGCCAAAUAAUGGGGGAUGGUGCUGAAAUAUCUGUUCUUGGCAAUGAUCUUACUAAAAUAUCCUUAGUUGCUGAAAACGGGGACUCAAGUAAGCUAUCAUAAAUGGCAAAGUCAACUAUGUAGAAAGGGGCUGAUGAAUUGUAAAUUUACCUUUUCUUUUGGGUUCAUUGCACCUUGGCCACACAACAGAGACAGCUCCUUCCAUCUCAGAACACCCCCUCUGCCAAAGAAACCAAAACAAUUUGAAUCAGGUGUUCUGAGAUGGAAUUUUAUGUUCUAACCACUUUAGCAGCAGGCUUAUGUUUAAGAAUCCAAACAUCCAGUUCAGUGUAAGAGGGUCUGAACUGAAGUGUCAACUGCUGUUCACUUGACCUAGAAAUAACUGCCUUAUGAUUUGCUACUAAGUCACUAUCCUUUAGUGUUUUCUAGUGUAUUAAAUUUCUUUUAGCUUUUUGCAUGUGCACACAAAGGCAUUGUUCGAUUAAUUGGCUCAUACUCCAAUUAGUUAUGAUAUUCUGCAGGAGUGGAAAGAGCACUUAUCUUCAACAAGUUUGUCUUAUUGUCAUUUUGGCUCAGAUCGGUUGUUAUGUUCCUGCUCGCUUCUUAACUAUAAGGAUAGUUGAUCGUAUAUUUACGAGGAUGGGUUCAGUUGAUAAUCUUGAAUCCAACUCCAGUACGGUACAACUUCUGGUCUCAAGUCUUGAAAUAAAUCCCUCAUCUUAUUAUACUACUCAAACAAAUAAGAAAUUUUAUCUCCAAAACCACUAUUCCAAUGAAGGACAACAUAUUAUGUAGCUGUUAACAGAUUUGUCUUUCAAGCAAAAGUUUCAUUUUUGCAAUGCCUUCUACCGUCAUAUUCUCAGUUUGGUUUGAAUUUAAGAUGCUGAGAAAUUGAAUUUAAGACGCUGAGAAAUUAAGGAGAAAGAUCCCAUCAAAAUUCACAAGACCACAUUAAAUGCUCUCUUUCUGCAAAUGCAUAGUACAAGUGAAAUGCAGUUCUGAUAGUAAGAAACCAUAUCAUGCCUGUUUUGCAUUGGGCCGCAGUUUAUGACAGAGAUGAAAGAGACAGCUUUCAUUAUGCAGAAUGUCUCCCAAAGGUGAUAUAUCAUGUGCUCUUACCAAUAAGAAAAGUGAAAUAUAUAGUCAGGACAUCAUUUUCUCUGUUAACAGAAGCCUGAUCAUUAUGGAUGAACUUGGGAGAGCAACUUCUUCUUCUGAUGGAUUUUCCAUUGCCUGGAGCUGCUGUGAGCAUUUGUUAUCACUCAAAGCGUGAGUACUUUAUGUUUACUCAUAUUACGCCCACUAUUUGGUUAAAUAUCUAAUGAAAAUGCUAUAUCUAAGUAUGAUCGGUCUACAUUGGCUACUUCCCAGUUCUAAAAUAUAUGAUGUGAGUGGACAGUAGAAAAGUUGCUCGAGCAAAACAUGCCUUGGAGCUAUAGAUUAGCUAAUUCAUAGUUGUUGCUGGAGUUUCUUUAACACAUUAUAUAUCUAAUGUUUGCUAUUAUCAGUUAACAGGCAGCCAAAGUUCUAAACUUCUCUUCUUUUUUCUUAUUCCCCUUUCCCCCCUUUGUUUCUGUUUAAUUACAUUUUUUCUACAUGACUCCUAGAGUUUAACUGUCCUGCUUUAGAAAAAGCUCUGCGGCACACAAAAUGUUAGGAGGUUUCUGUUUAAGAAGAGUUGUGUCAGCAAACACUUGCGACAGGGAUGUGCUUGAAUGUUUGACAUUCUUCAGGUAUACCAUAUUUGCUACUCAUAUGGAGAACCUAUCGGAACUAGCAACCAUCUAUCCGAAUGUCAAGCUUCUUCACUUAGAUGUCACUGUAAAAAACAACCGCUUAGACUUCAAGGUGGUAUUCCUGAGUACAUUUUGCCCCAAAUUUGAAUUUGGAAUUUAAGUUUUCAUUGACAUUUUUGUUUACUUAGUUUCAACUCAAGGAUGGACCGAGACAUGUACCCCAUUAUGGCCUUCUAUUGGCUGAAGUGGCAGGCUUACCAAGCUCAGUGAUUGAAACAGCUAGAAGCAUCACAUCAAAGAUUAA
rnacentral:lncRNA from 1 species